ACACUCCUACGGGAGGCAGCAGUGGGGAAUUUUGGACAAUGGGGGCAACCCUGAUCCAGCAAUGCCGCGUGAGUGAAGAAGGCCUUCGGGUUGUAAAGCUCUUUUGUCAGGGAAGAAACGGUGGUGGCGAAUAACUACUACUAAUGACGGUACCUGAAGAAUAAGCACCGGCUAACUACGUGCCAGCAGCCGCGGUAAUACGUAGGGUGCAAGCGUUAAUCGGAAUUACUGGGCGUAAAGCGUGCGCAGGCGGUUGUGUAAGUCAGAUGUGAAAUCCCCGGGCUCAACCUGGGAAUUGCAUUUGAGACUGCACGGCUAGAGUGUGUCAGAGGGGGGUAGAAUUCCACGUGUAGCAGUGAAAUGCGUAGAUAUGUGGAGGAAUACCGAUGGCGAAGGCAGCCCCCUGGGAUAACACUGACGCUCAUGCACGAAAGCGUGGGGAGCAAACAGGAUUAGAAACCCCAGUAGUCCC
rnacentral:rRNA from 1 species